GCAGGAUGGCCUCUCUAAGGCUGAUGCUGACAGAUUUAUAGCUAUCUGGAACUGGAGAGAUUUUGAAUUAGUUUUGUUCAAACAAACUUCUUUCUCCACUUUUUUUUUUUUCUAGCAACUCGUCAAUCUAUACAAAACAGACCAAAAAAAAAAAUGUGCUAAGCCAGACAUGGAGGUUCAAACUUAUAAUUCUAAGCACUUGGGAAGCUGAUGCAGACGGUUUGUCAUGUCAACAAAACCUGCCGAAAGUAAGACUUCAUCCAUCUAGACUCAAGUGUAAAUUCAUCAGUCAGAAAAAAAACCCACGCCGCUGCUGAUCUUGAUUUACUAAGAACCUACCACCUGUCGG
rnacentral:lncRNA from 1 species